rnacentral:lncRNA from 1 species
AAAGAGCCGUCUGGAUUCUCAUUCUCUAGUCCCUGCGACAAAUAAACUCGAAGCUCAUUUAGAUGGGAAAUUUCAUCUAAAUUUUCCCCUUGAGUACCCCUCAACUCCGUCCAAGAUUUAAGAGCUGUUAAGCCAGCAGCUCUUUUAGACGACUGUGAUGUAGACGAAGUAGGGGUUGGAAUAUUAGGCCUAGCAUGCUCUAACGCC